AUUGAACGCUGGCGGCAUGCCUUACACAUGCAAGUCGAACGGUAACGCGGGGGCAACCCUGGCGACGAGUGGCGAACGGGUGAGUAAUACAUCGGAACAUAUCCAGUAGCGGGGGAUAACCUAUCGAAAGAUUGGCUAAUACCGCAUACGAUCUACGGAUGAAAGCGGGGGACCGCAAGGCCUCGCACUAUUGGAGUGGCCGAUGUCAGAUUAGCUAGUUGGUGGGGUAAAAGCCUACCAAGGCGACGAUCUGUAGCUGGUCUGAGAGGACGAUCAGCCACACUGGAACUGAGACACGGUCCAGACUCCUACGGGAGGCAGCAGUGGGGAAUUUUGGACAAUGGGCGCAAGCCUGAUCCAGCCAUGCCGCGUGAGUGAAGAAGGCCUUCGGGUUGUAAAGCUCUUUCGGUGAAGACGAAACGGUUAGUGUUAAUAACACUGACUAAUGACGGUACUCACAGAAGAAGCACCGGCUAACUACGUGCCAGCCGCCGCCGUAA
rnacentral:rRNA from 1 species